GGGAAGAUCUAACCUACAGAUGUAAACGGGUAGGGUACGUGAAAAUCGGACUCAAACAAAGCAUAUCCUAAACUCUAACAAAGUCGUCCCAUCACUCCGCCUACCAGUAUAGCCGCGCGCCUCCCCUCCCGCCGAUCGUCCCUCUGCACUUCACACUGGUGAAGGUCGUUGCUGCGUCCGCUGGUCCUGGUUACUUCUUCUCUCUCCUCCUCCGCUUCCUCUCGUCCUCGUCGCUGCGUCCGGUGGUCCAUUCCUUCUGCCGUCAGGUGCUGCUCCUCGCCGGUGGUCCUUGUCAUCAAUCACGCCGCCGCCACUCCUCGCCGCCACGUCAGUCGCUGCAGCUGGGCCUUUCCCAAUUUUCACACUUGUCUUCCAUUUGGGGGCCCUUACAAGGCAUCAAUACCGCUGAAUCAUGCUACGAGUCCUGAAGCUGAUGUUCUACUUGCUUAUGAGAUGAAUGGGGAGCCUCUAAAGAGAGAUCAUGGUUAUCCGCUGCGAGUGGUUGUUCCUGGUGUUAUAGGUGCACGUUCUGUCAAAUGGUUGGAUUCCAUUAACAUAAUUGCAGAAGAAUAUCAGGUAAAGAAGAACACUCUAUUUUUUAUUUUUAUUUUUUAGUUGUGGCUUCUUUCCACAGCUUAACGGCUGCAUGUCCCAGGGCAUGGAUAGAGUGAUCUGUGCUGUGAAAAUAACUACACUAUAUCUUAAAUAAAAUAACUACACUAUAUCUUAAAUUAACCAUGUAACAUUGCAUUAUAAUAUUCUUUACCUUCCUCAAGACUUAGAAGGUAAUAAUUUUCUCUU